rnacentral:rRNA from 1 species
CCUACGGGCGGCUGCAGUGGGGAAUAUUGGACAAUGGGCGAAAGCCUGAUCCAGCCAUGCCGCGUGUGUGAAGAAGGCCUUCGGGUUGUAAAGCUCUUUCAGUGGGGAAGAAAGCCUUGGGGCUAAUACCCUCGAGGAAGGACAUCACCCACAGAAGAAGCACCGGCUAACUCCGUGCCAGCAGCCGCGGUAAUACGGAGGGUGCGAGCGUUAAUCGGAAUUACUGGGCGUAAAGCGCGCGUAGGCGGUCUGAUAAGCCGGUUGUGAAAGCCCCGGGCUCAACCUGGGAACGGCAUCCGGAACUGUCAGGCUAGAGUGCAGGAGAGGAAGGUAGAAUUCCCGGUGUAGCGGUGAAAUGCGUAGAGAUCGGGAGGAAUACCAGUGGCGAAGGCGGCCUUCUGGACUGACACUGACGCUGAGGUGCGAAAGCGUGGGUAGCAAACAGGAUUAGAUACCCGAGUAGUC